CAGAGAGGAGACUGAAGCGAGCCCUGCUGGACAAGGAAUCUGUGGCGACUGUAUCUUGGACUUUCCAGACUCUCCGGAACUUUUUGGAUCAGAAGACCUAAAAUCAAGGUAUCAGCUGGGUUAUGCGCCUUCUGGAUUCUUUAGGAGAAAAUCCUUUCCUUUUGGAGACCAUGUACAUUCUUGGAAGAGAGGCAGAGACCUGAAUGGCAGUGGCAGAGACUGAUCAACAAAAGGAGCUGAGACAAGAGAAAAUAGCAAAUACCCAUUUGAAGAAAAUUACAGAAAAAGACA